rnacentral:rRNA from 1 species
AGUAGUUCGAUCCGUGCUCGAGGACGAACGCUGGCGGCGUGCUUCAAAACAUGCAAGUCGAACGGAGUUAAUUUAGCUUGCUAAAUUAACUUAGUGGCGGACUGGUGAGUAACGCGUGAGUAAUCUGCCUAUUACAGGGGGAUAACAGUUGGAAACGACUGCUAAUACCGCAUAAGACCACGGGAAGGCAUCUUCAAGGGGUCAAAGGGAUACUGGUAAUAGAUGAGCUUGCGUAUCAUUAGCUAGAUGGUGAGGGUAAAGGCCCACCAUGGCGACGAUGAUUAGCCGAUCUGAGAGGAUGACCGGCCACACUGGAACUGAGAUACGGUCCAGACUCCUACGGGAGGCAGCAGUUAGGAAUAUUGGGCAAUGGAGGAAACUCUGACCCAGCAACGCCGCGUGAAGGAAGAAGGUUUUCGGAUUGUAAACUCCUGAUCUUGGGGAAAAAGAAAGUGAUGGUACCCAAGGAGAAAGCCACGGCUAACUACGUG